CAGCCGCCGCGGGAACACGUAGGGUGCAAGCGUUAAUCGGAAUUACUGGGCGUAAAGCGUGCGCAGGCGGUUAUAUAAGACAGAUGUGAAAUCCCCGGGCUCAACCUGGGAACUGCAUUUGUGACUGUAUAGCUAGAGUACGGCAGAGGGGGAUGGAAUUCCGCGUGUAGCAGUGAAAUGCGUAGAUAUGCGGAGGAACACCGAUGGCGAAGGCAAUCCCCUGGGCCUGUACUGACGCUCAUGCACGAAAGCGUGGGGAGCAAACAGGAUUAGAUACCCGAGUAGUCCCUGUCUCUUAUAC
rnacentral:rRNA from 1 species